UGUUUUUUAAAAAUUGUGGUAAAAUACACAUAACAUAGUAUUUGCUAUCUUAACCAUUUUUAAGUGUGUAGUUUCAGAGUAUUCAGAAUAUUUACAUUGCUGAGCAGCCAUUCUCCAGAACUUUUUCAUUUGGCAGAACCAGAAUGCUACACUCAUCAACCAACUCACCAUUUCCCCCUUCCCCCAGCCCCUGGCAACCACCAUUCUACUUUUUGUCUCUUGUGAAUCUCUAGAUGCCUCAUAUCAGUUUGUCUUUUUGUGACUGGUUUAUUUCACUUAGCAUAAUAGCCUCAAGGUUCAUCCAUGGUAUAGCAUGUGGUAGAAUUUUCUUCCUUUUAAAGGCUAAAGACUAUUUCAUUGUACUUAUAUACCACACUUUGCUUAGCCAUUCUUCUGUUAAUGGAUAUUGGAUUGCUUCCAUGUUUUGGCUCUUGUGAACAAUGCUGCUGUGCACAUGAGUGUACUACCAAUAUUUUUCUCUAAGAAAAAUUAUUUCCUCUAGAGAUACUCUUGUUUCCUUGGAAAACUUGAGCCAGGGUCUGUUAGAAAACUCUUUAAGGCCUCCUUUAGUCUUACCCAUUGAAAUAGUUCAGCGUAUGGAAUAAAGCCAAUACCCAUAAAGUUGAAAUAUUCUUGUAGACUAGAACAAAGGUGAAGAUAAGAGACUACACAAGACACUGAAAAUACAAAGUGGCAAAAGUGUGGAGUUUGGUGUGACCAACCACUCUUUCUGUGGCUCAGGGAGAAUCACUUCAUAGUCUCAAUCUCCGCCAUCCCAUCUCUAAAAUGGGGGUGGAUAUAUUUUAAUUUCCUUGUCUCUUAAGAUUUGAAACCUUAAUGAUUUGAGAUAUUAUAUAACACACAGGUGGCAGAAGUCUGACAGUUUUCAUUACUAUUGCUAAGCUCUGUGAGGGCAGAACUGGGUUCUCUUUGCGUCACCAUCCCUAGUGCCUGACAGUGCUGGGCACGGGGUAAGUACCUCUAAAUGUUUGUUGACUGGUGGAUAUUUGCCAUGGGGAUUCGGACCUUCCUCUAAUAGUUAGAAAGCUUGUAUGAGCCAGGAUUGCUUUGAUGUAGGUAUGAUAUCUGAAACUAUUUAUAAAUUAUAACUCAUAUGUAUGAAAUCUGUUUCUCUUAGCAAUUUUGGAAUGUGAGUUUAUUGCUGAACACCACUGUUUUCUAAAAGAGAAGUUUCCAUAGAAUAUUCCAGAGAUCCGUUGCCUAACAAUCUUGCCUUCUCUCCGUUUUCCUGUGACUGAAACAGAAGUUCAGAUGAAAAACUCUAUUAUGCUAGCAUGGCUUUCUUCUAAGGAUGCAUUGACUCCUUGGAUCCUUACAAGUCAUGGAUGUUCCUCUUAGAAAUAAGGCCUUUCCUACUCCUGCCCUAAUACAUGUCCCUGGAAUUGGUCCUCUCCAAACAUCAUCGUCACCAUUAUCUUCAUCAUAGCUGCAAUUAAUUGGCAAUUCCAGGAGAAAGAUCCAAGGCUAAAGUGAACUCUCAUCUUGCAUAGUUUUAUGUAACAUAAGCUGGGCGCUUUGAGGGUAGAGAGGAACUUGCUGUCUCUCUCAGUAACAAAUGGCUGGAUUAAAGGAGGAGGUACUUAAAAAAAAAAAGUUCCAUAUAAUACUUAUGUGUUAUUUCCUCUUAAAUCAGUGAUAAUGAAGCAAAUCCAGUUAAUAGAUAGUAGCUGUCUGAGAAAGUAUAGAAAAGGAAUCUGAUGCUUUUACAGGCUUAGGAGCU